GAACCCAGCAACCCGUGUUCCCACAACCCUCCAGGCGACUAUGAGUGGGAGAACCACUGCUCUAGCCAGGCCGCCUCUGCUGUGAUAGUCUCCCCUAAAGACUUCUCUUAUGCCACUGUGAAUUCGCCCUCACGCGGACUAUCCCAUCUGCCAGAAAUGGCUCUUUCUUUCUGCCUGUUCGACUCCUGCGUGGCCUUCAAGCCCAGAGCCAUUUGCCACCUUCUUCACGCAGCUUCCAUUGAAUCCCCUGUGGGAGGGAAACCCCUCUUCCGGCUCUGCACUCGGAUGGGCCCUUAUCUCUGAGCCAUUUGGCAGUGCAUCCUCUACUGGCUCUGUCCUCUGUGUCUUGUACACGGCAGGCAAUGACUUAGUUUAAGUGAUUCAAGUAGAUUUGCUUUACCCCUAGUGAAUUUAAAAGGCAGCUGAGGAAUUCUCAGACUUUAGCUCCGGUCUCUUCAGACCAGCUAGAGAGCCAUGCGGUUAGUCCUAACUCACCGAUGAAGAUAAUCAGACACUUCGACAGAAAUCCAACCAUGACUUAUCUGCCCUGAGCCGAAGGUUCUUCCAGAGCCAGCUUUUAAGGCGUGUUUACUGAAGACUCAGGAAGUUCUACUGGACAGCACUGCUCUAUAUUCUGCCUGGAGGAUAGACAACAAUGGGUCCCAACUGAAACUGUCACCUAAAUUCAGUACCUAGGAGAAGACAUAGAUAGUUCAUUGGAAACAGUUGAGAUUUUGAAAAAUAGAAAGGUACCAGAAGGUUCUUAUGCUACAUAAUGGUAUAAAGGUGGGGGGUGACCCACUGAGAUUUAACUCUGUUUUGAAUUGUGUUGUUGGUGGUAGUAGUGGUGGUUAUUUAUUUGUUGCUUUAGCAAGAUAGAUGCCAGAGAUUUCCUUGGAUUAUCCUAGGCUCUUAAGAUGACUGAUCAUGGAAGCAGAGAAAGUAUUUCCCAUUAAAAAUAAUGUGGGCCCUUCUCAAAGGCAAGCAAGCUCUGUUUUCUGAUGAAGGCUGUGGGAUGAGCACGCCGUGUCUUGAGAGUUGGGAAAGAAAGGAGGCUGGCCAACGCCUCCCCCAGCCUUCUUGAAUUUCUGAGACUGGAAAGAGUGACAGUAGUUGCAUAUUCUUUGAUGGGCUGACCCUCUAAUCAGAUCAAGCACAGCAUCUCUGGACAGGAGAACUUAGCUGCUUGGGCACUGAGUGAUGUCCAGGGAACCCUGAGAAGGCACCCUGGGUGAAGUGGAGUCACCCACAGAUGUGACCUCCUUUGAAAGCUCAGGAUGACCUGUGGCAGCCAUUGGUUGAGAGUGACUUCCCUGCAGCUCUGGACAGUCAGUUGGACACACAAGAGGGACAGGGUGUGGCAACAAGGAACAGUGACCACCAGACAACAGCAGGCCUUAAGACACAUAAAGUUCUCCCCCGGGUAGAAGAGAAAGUGGAUGGACUUCUUUGUUGGAUGAGAAGCCACCACAGUUUGGGGAUGAGCAAAGGGAUUGAAGGAGCUCCAAGAGAGUAUCGUAGGAUUUUCUUCUGAUCAGACAUGGGGGGAUUUCAGCAAUUUUAAUUUCUAUUGGGAAAAAGGAAAUAGACUUGAUGUUGCUUGUGCUCUCAGUGUGGUGGAGCCAGUGAUACUCAUUUCAUGAAGACAUGGGCAGCUCUGGUCUAACGGCUCACCCCUUAGUGGUUUGUAAAAAUAUCCCACAUUUAGAAAUAUCUAAUUGGCAAGAGACCCUAAUAACUGGUAAUUUAGCAACUGGGGCAUGCCCACCUGCCGGGAAAACGUAAUUCAGAGAUUAAAAUAGAAAAGUUAAUUUUAAAACACUUUUUGACUAAAUAAUAAAAAUUUUAAAGAUAUAUCUAAAUCCCAGUGUUAUUAUUUUUAUUAACAAUUAUUAAACCCAUAAUAGCUCAACAAAUAGCAUAUUUCCAAAUAUUGACUUUUUUGUUUACGAAGUUCUAAAUGAAGUUUUUCAGUUCAUUUAGGCAGGUUUGAUCUGCAGGCAA
rnacentral:lncRNA from 1 species